rnacentral:rRNA from 1 species
UACGGAGGGGGCUAGCGUUGUUCGGAAUUACUGGGCGUAAAGCGCGCGUAGGCGGCCCUGCAAGUCGGGGGUGAAAGCCCGAGGCUCAACUUCGGAACUGCCUUUGAUACAGCACGUCUUGAGUCCGAUAGAGGUGGGUGGAAUUCCUAGUGUAGAGGUGAAAUUCGUAGAUAUUAGGAAGAACACCGGUGGCGAAGGCGGCCCACUGGAGCGGUACUGACGCUGAGGUGCGCAAGCGUGGGGAGCAAACAGG